rnacentral:rRNA from 1 species
AAGGUGGGGAUGACGUCAAAUCAUCAUGCCCCUUAUGACCUGGGCUACACACGUGCUACAAUGGUUGGUACAACGGAGUUGCGAGUCGGUGACGGCGAGCUAAUCUCUUAAAGCCAAUCUCAGUUCGGAUUGUAGGCUGCAACUCGCCUACAUGAAGUCGGAAUCGCUAGUAAUCGCGGAUCAGCACGCCGCGGUGAAUUACGUUCCCGGGCCUU